AAUGACAAAGCCCAAAACGAGGCCGUGCCCUUCCUGCCAGGCCCCAAAUUCCCUGAAGAGGAAGACCUGUUGGAGCUGCAUCUGCCCUCUUCAGCAGAGCACUCCAGAUCUAGAUAGUUGGGCAUCGGCUGUUAAGGCCAACAAGAACAAACACCGGACCUUGAAGUCUGCCCAGAUAUCUAUGAGUUUUAAUCUCUUCAAUGUAACAAGGGGUUUGGCCUCUUACACAUGUACAUAAUGAUCAUUAUGUAAAUUUGCAGGAAGAUGCCUGAUGUCCUAGCCUAUAGCUUAUACUGUGUAUUACUCACAAAAAUGUAGCCCAUAUUGAUUUGUUUAUUUCCUAAAUGUUUGCAUUUAAUUUGGCCAACACCUGUUCCAAAAAUAUGUUCCAUUAUUAAAAAUUUCCUAGAUUAUACUUUCAGGUUGCUGUGAAGUAGGCUAGCCCCCCCAAGCCAAUGGUUUCUAAACUAAAUGCUCUUGGCUACUGCCCACUGCUUUUUGUUGGACAACGUGGUCGAAAGGGGCACAUUAAUGCCGACAUGAUUCACCACAUCUUGGCAGAUGGAGUUGUGCAAAAGAUAUUGAAAAAAAUGGGGAUGCUUUAUGAGCACCUCCUGAUAAAGUUGCAAGUAGCUGGGACAACAGAUGCUCGAGCAGGACCAGGACAAGGACCAGGACCAGGACAAGGACCAGGACCAGGACACGAAGAGGAAUUUGUUCUUCACCUGGUACCUGUUUUAAGUGUGUUAUCCUUUCUUCCUCUUGGUUUUCUGGUAAAAUACAAUGGAAAAACAUUUAAGGUUCACAAUCAAUUUAUUAUUCAUUCUACAACAGUGUUAUAUGAGGAUUAUAUUAGAAAAUGCAAAUUGUCUUUUGAUGUUUCAAAAGACCAAAAAAAUGGUGUAGUGAAGUGCUGUCCCCGACUAAGGAUUUACCCAGUCGAAUCUGAUUCGUCAUGUCUUUCCUAUAGUCAACUGAUUGUCAAAUCAUGACGAUUUUUAAUCGCACAAUCAAGGCCUCUACACAUGAUCAGCGGUAAUACUCCUGAUAAUGUGCUGGCUGUCCAAUUAUUUUUAUAUGGAGAGGGCAGCCUGUGACUCCAGCUGUCGGCAGUGCUGUGCCAUGAUCCACUCUGGAAAGCAGCUGGUGGAAGGUGUUGAUGGGCGAGGCAUCAGGGCUGAGCACUGUUGGGCGGCUGGAGACCAAGGAGUGCCCCUGGUACAGAUAAUGCGCGCUGCGAUGACACAAGGUAAUGUGGUUAUAAACCACAAUAGGUUAUAAACACUGCUACCCUUGUUGUGGCACUCCG
rnacentral:lncRNA from 15 species